rnacentral:rRNA from 1 species
UUAGAGGAAGGAGAAGUCGUAACAAGGUUUCCGUAGGUGAACCUGCGGAAGGAUCAUUGUCGAAUCCUACAAACAAAAGACCCGCGAACUCGUUUAUCCUUUAGACGUCGAGGCCCUCCCUCGCUCGUCUACCCCUGGCCGGCCAGUGCCCACGGGUUCUUGGUCGCGCCAAACAACAAAAAUAAUCGGCGCGGAAAGCGCCAAGUAAUACGCAAUCGGGAUGCCGACCUACGGCUCACUCGUUCGCGAUGUGGGUCGUKGGAGAAAAGGCAUCAAUCAAAUAUAAAACGACUCUCGGCAACGGAUAUCUAGGCUCUCGCAUCGAUGAAGAACGUAGCAAACUGCGAUACUUGGUGUGAAUUGCAGAAUCCCGUGAACCAUCGAGUUUUUGAACGCAAGUUGCGCCCGAAGCCACUAGGCUGAGGGCACGUCUGCCUGGGCGUCACGCAUCGCGUCGCUCCUUCUCACACCUCGCCUUAACGGGAUGAGGAUCGUGGCCGGGGGCGGAAAAUGGCCUCCCGUAUUGUUUAUUGCGGUUGGCCUAAACUUGAGUCCUUAGCUGCUGACGUCACGAUAAGUGGUGGUUGGAACUCUCAACUCGAACGCGAGUCGUGUACAUUCCGUGGCUGAGAAGACUGUAAGACCCUAGGCGAGCACCUUUAGUGGCGCUUGUCACGACCGCGACCCCAGGUCAGGCGGGGCUACCCGCUGAGUUUA